CCUACGGGGGGCAGCAGUGAGGAAUAUUGGUCAAUGGACGAAAGUCUGAACCAGCCAAGUAGCGUGAAGGAUGACUGCCCUAUGGGUUGUAAACUUCUUUUAUAUGGGAAUAAAACGUUCCACGUGUGGGAUUUUGUAUGUACCAUAUGAAUAAGGAUCGGCUAACUCCGUGCCAGCAGCCGCGGUAAUACGGAGGAUCCGAGCGUUAUCCGGAUUUAUUGGGUUUAAAGGGAGCGUAGGUGGAUUGUUAAGUCAGUUGUGAAAGUUUGCGGCUCAACCGUAAAAUUGCAGUUGAAACUGGCAGUCUUGAGUACAGGAGAGGUGGGCGGAAUGCGUGGUGUAGCGGUGAAAUGCUUAGAUAUGACGAAGAACUCCGAUUGCGAAGGCAGUUCACUGGACUGCAACUGACACUGAGGCUCGAAAGUGUGGGUAUCAAACAGGAUUAGAUACCCCGGUAGUC
rnacentral:rRNA from 1 species